UACAGAGGUCUCAAGCGUUGUUCGGAUUCAUUGGGCGUAAAGGGUGCGUAGGUGGCGAGGUAAGUUGGAUGUGAAAUCCCGGGGCUCAACCCCGGAACUGCAUUCAAUACUGCCUUGCUGGAGUACUGGAGAGGAGAUUGGAAUUUACGGUGUAGCAGUGAAAUGCGUAGAUAUCGUAAGGAAGACCAGUGGCGAAGGCGGAUCUCUGGACAGUUACUGACACUGAGGCACGAAGGCCAGGGGAGCAAACGGG
rnacentral:rRNA from 1 species